CUCUGUGAAAUUGGAGCUGCAUUCGUGAACGGCAACGCAACGACAACAUAAUUGCCGGCCUAACUUCCUCGCGUUGAGACCGUGUCGUCGUUAUUCAACGGUAUUUGUACCCCUUCGCUUCCUCCUCACCGCCGACGUGCUACCUAUCUGCAGGACGCGUAUAUAUUUCACCCUCCAAGAAUUUACCGUGCCAAUCCAGGCGCUUUUACACUCCGUCCACGAGCUAUGGUCGCAUACACCUAUGCAUACCCUAUGCAGCUGCAGCAGCUCGUUACUACGCCACGUCAAGGCUCGUCGCCUUGCAUUUUACAUGCGUCCCUACACGUACUUGUCGUCUACAUUACAUGAUCUCGCGCGCAUCGGUAUGGCACAGCACGCUUUCCUCAUUACUCUUUCCCUUCGUUCUCACGUUCCCGUUUUUCGCUCGGUCGCGACGACCUAUCAAUAAAACCUGUUCACUGCGCAACGCCCGGGUUACCUCCCCUCCUCUCUCUCUCUCUCGCUCUCUCUCUCUCUCUCUCUCUCUCUCUCUCUCUCUCUUGCUCCGCUUCUUCUUCUAUUCUUCGUUUACAGUUAUUGUUAGCCACCACGGGUAGAGAACGCCGGUCUCCGCGCGUCCGCGCAAUUACGCACACCGCCGCGCCGUCAGCGGCGGUCCAGUCGUCGCCUCCUGUGAUACGCGGAGGAGCACGGAUCGGUUGCUCCUGCCGUAUUUUUACACCGCCGACGACACCGGCGAGGCCGAUCUCGCGAUCGAUGAUAAUCUUCCCAUUCGCGUCGGAAAAUGGACGGCUAAAGCGAGAGCACAGACUGCGGCAUAUGCGCUGUGUAGUUACUGCAGCUGUUCAUGUAAUUCCACGCGGGAUCCUCGCGUAAAUCACCUUCCGGAAACCGCGUCCCGAGAUAUGACUUCUGAUGGAAGAAACUUCUGAUGACCAAAGCGCGCCAUCGGGCGAACCGGCCGGCCUCGACCGCAUCAUUCCCUCAACAUUGCCAAAGUUUCGCAUAUCCACGUGGCUGCAUGGUGGGAUCGUGUUGAAAACUUUUUUUUCUUCUUUUCGAUGAAACACCGACGUGGGCAAACUUCGAACGAGUAGUUAAAAUAUCACGAAGAAACUAUAAUACUAGUCGUAACGCAACAAUUCCCGUCACCCUAAAAUUAGAAUCUGAGCCAAUUGUAUCAAACUUAAUAGAUUCCGAAAUUUCUUAAUAAGUAACGUAUACAUUUAUCUACAUUUCGGAAAACAAAGUUGAAUAACUGAAAAAGAAUAAUCUCUUUCUAGCGUCAUUGUAACCGACUGUGCACUCGCUUUAUCUGCAAUGCGUAAUUAAUGCGCGCGACUAUGAAUUGUUGCGCAUUUAUUUAUUGUAUGAAUAUUAUAAGUAUGUAACAUCAAAUGUUGAUCAAUGUUGAUCAAUAUAAAGAUGUUACUUAAUAUAAUCGUUCGAUACAAGUCUGUAGUGCGCUAAAUUUGGCAGUGCGUAGCGUGGUACUAUCACUUGCGUCCGACUAUAUAUACGUGAGAACUACUGCCGACAUUUACUACUACUCGUCAUACAAUGUUUGAUACAUAAGGCACUUACUACUUGUAGGAUAAGACAAUGGGGAAUAGAGAAUUAUUCUUUUCUAUAAAAAUAAAAAUUAAUUAUAAAAUAAUUAUUUACGUAUAAAGUAGAUUUUUCUAAAGUUGAACAUUAUGUCAAAAACGUAAUUAAAAUAAAUUGCAAAAAAUAUA